CUAAUACAUGCUAAAAAUCCCGACUUCGGAAGGGAUGUAUUUAUUAGAUUAAAAACCAAUGCCCUUCGGGGCUCACUGGUGAUUCAUGAUAACUCCUCGAAUCGCAUGGCCUUGUGCCGGCGAUGGUUCAUUCAAAUUUCUUCCCUAUCAACUUUCGAUGUUUGGGUAUUGGCCAAACAUGGUUGCAACGGGUAACGGAGGGUUAGGGCUCGACCCCGGAGAAGGAGCCUGAGAAACGGCUACUACAUCCAAGGAAGGCAGCAGGCGCGCAAAUUACCCAAUCCCGACACGGGGAGGUAGUGACAAUAAAUACUGAUACAGGGC
rnacentral:rRNA from 2 species